rnacentral:rRNA from 1 species
GACGAACGCUGGCGGCGUGCUUAACACAUGCAAGUCGAACGGACAGGCCCUGCUUUUGUGGGGUGCUCGAGUGGCGAACGGGUGAGUAACACGUGAGUAACCUGCCCUUGACUGUGUGAUAACUUCAGGAAACUGGGGCUAAUACCGGAUAGGAGCUCCUGCUGCAUGGUGGGGGUUGGAAAGUUUCGGCGGUUGGGGCUGGACUCGCGGCUUAUCAGCUUGUUGGUGGGGUAGUGGUUUACCAAGGCUUUGACGGGUAGCCUGCCUGAGAGGGUGAACGGGGACAAUGCGACUAAGGGACGGACCAGACGCGUACGGGAGGCAGCAGUGGGGAGUAUUGCAGAAUGGGGGGAAGCCUGAUGCAGCAGUGCCGCGUGCGGGAUAACGGCCUUCGAGUUAUGAACCGAUGUCGCAGGUGACGAAGAGUGAGUGACGGUAAUGGGUAAGGAAGCACCGGCUAACUACGUG